rnacentral:rRNA from 1 species
AUGGGGUUUGUUUGCCUGGGACAGGGGCAGGGAGCUGCUGUUUCUAUAAAGCCACACCCAGGUAUGUGUGGGUUUACAGUACUCAGAAGGACUAAUUUAAGCAUAUCACACCAACUUGACAAACUCCAACAUUUACUAAUUGAAGGAAUGAAUGUCAAGAUGGUUGAGUUUCAUGCUGCUGAUCUUGCCCAUUUUGAAUACGAAGGACAACGGAUCCCUAUAGUACUUCAUGGUUGCUUGAAAUUAGAUAAGGCUACAAUAAUAAUGUUUAAAGAAAGCAAAGGACUGGCCCAUGUAUUCACUUUAGUUCCAAGUAUUUUUCCAGUGAAGAUACCACAUGUGCAAGCUUAUAUACAUGGAUAUGAACAGGUUAACUGGUGUUUAUUAAUCUAUUCAUUCGUUCUUGUUUGCGUACAUUAUAGUUCUUGA